UACGAAGGGGGCUAGCGUUGUUCGGAAUUACUGGGCGUAAAGCGCACGUAGGCGGAUUGUUAAGUCAGGGGUGAAGUCCCGGGGCUCAACCCCGGAACUGCCUUUGAUACUGGCAUUCUCGAGUCCGGAAGAGGUGAGUGGAAUUCCGAGUGUAGAGGUGAAAUUCGUAGAUAUUCGGAGGAACACCAGUGGCGAAGGCGGCUCACUGGUCCGGAACUGACGCUGAGGUGCGAAAGCGUGGGGAGCAAACAGG
rnacentral:rRNA from 1 species